ensembl:lncRNA
AUGUCACCACCUGUCUCCUCCUUCUCGCCCCUGUCCACCAUUGUCUCCCUCUGUCUCCCUCAUGUCGCCACCUGUCUCCUCUGUCUCCCCCAUGUCGCCCCUGUCUCUCUCUGUCUCCACCAUGUCACCACCUGUCUCCCCCAUGUCACCACUUGUCUCCCUCUGUCUCCCCCAUGGCACCACCUGUUCCCUCUGUUCCCCCAUGUCACCACCGUCUCCCUCUGUCUGCCCCAUGUCACCACUGUCCCCCUGUCACCACCUGUCUCCCUCCUUCUCUCCCAUGUCGCCACCUGUCUCCCUCUGUCUCCCCCAUGUCGCCAGUCUCCCUCUGUCUCCCCCAUGUCGCCACCUGUCUCCCUCCUUCUCCCCCAUGUCGCCACCUGUCUCCCUCUGCUCCCCCAUGUCACCACCUGUCUCCCUCUGUCUCCCUCAUGUCACCACCUGUCUCCCUCCUUCUCCCCCAUGUCGCCACCUGUCUCCCUCCUUCUCGCCCAUGUCACCACUUGUCUCCCUCUGUCUCCCCCAUGGCACCACCUGUUUCCCUCUGUCACCACCUGUCUCCCUCUGUCUCCCCCAUGGCACCACCUGUCUCCCCAUGUCCACACCUGUCUCCAUCUGUCUCCCCCAUGUCACCACCUGUCUCCCCCAUGUCACCACCUGUCUCCCUCUGUCUCCCCCAUGUCACCACCUGUCUCCCCCAUGUCACCACCUGUCUCCCUCUGUCUCCCCCAUGUCACACCUGUCUCCCUCCUUCUCCCCAUGUCGCCACCUGUCUCCCCCAUGUCACCACUUGUCUCCCCUGUCUCCCCAUGUCACCACCGCUCCCCCCCUGUCACACCUGUCUCCCUCGUCCCCAUGUCACCACCUGUCUCCCUCCUUCUCCCCAUUCGCCACCUGUCUCCCCAUGUCACCACUUGUCUCCCUCUGUCUCCCCAUGUCACCCACUGUCUCCCCCCGUCUCCCUCGUUCUCCCCAUGUCACCACCUGUCUCCCUCAUGUCACCACCUGUCUCCCUCUUCUCCCCCCAUGUCGCCACCUGUCUCCCUCCUUCUCUCCCAUGUCACCACUUGUCUCCUCUGUCUCCCCCAUGUCGCCCCCUGUCUCUCUCUGUCUCCACCAUGUCACCACCUGUCUCCCCAUGUCACCACUUGUCUGCCCCAUGUCACCACCUGUCUCCCUCUGCUCCCCCCAUGUCACCACCUGUUCCCUCCUUCUCUCCCAUGUCGCCACCUGUCUCCCUCUCUCCCCAUGUCGCCACUGUCUCCCUCUGUCUCCCCAUGUCGCCACCUGUCUCCCUCCUUCUCCCCCAUGUCGCCACCUGUCCCUCUGUCUCCCCCCUGUCACCACCUGUCUCCCUCUGUCUCCUCAUGUCACCACUGUCUCCCCCUUCUCCCCCAUGUCGCCACCUGUCUCCCUCCUUCUCGCCCUGUCACCACUUGUCUCCCUCUGUCUCCCCCAUGGCACCACCUGUUUCCCUCUGUCUCCCCCAUGUCACCACCGUCUCCCUCUUCUCCCCCCAUGUCGCCACCUGUCUCCCUUCUGUCUCCCCCAUGUCACCACCUGUCUCCCUCCUUCUCCCCCAUGUCACCACCUGUCUCUUUCUGUCUUCACCCUGUCACCACCUUCUCCCUCUGUCUCCCUUGUCUCCCCUGUCGCCACCUGUCUCCCCCAUUCACCACCUGCUCCCUUCUGUCUCCCCCAUGUACCACCUGUCUCCCUCCUUCUCCCCCAUGUCGCCACCUGUCUCCCUUCUGUCUCCCCCAUGUCACCACCUGUCUCCCUCCUUCUCCCCCAUGUCACCACCUGUCUCCCUCCUUCUCGCCCAUGUCACCACUUGUCUCCCUCAUGUCGCCCCCUGUCUCUCUCUGUCUCCACCAUGUCACCCCUGUCCCCCCCAUGUCCCACUUGUCUCCCUCUGUCUCCCCCAUGGCACCACCUGUUUCCCUCUGUCUCCCCCAUGUCACCACCUGUCUCCCUCUGUCUGCCCCAUGUCACCACCUGUCUCCCUCUGUCUCCCCCAUGUCACCACCUGUCUCCCUCCUUCUCCCCCAUGUCGCCACUUGUCUCCCUCUGUCUCCCACCAUGUCACCACCUGUCUCCCUCCUUCUCCCCCAUGUCGCCACCUGUCUCCCUCUGUCUCCCCCAUGUCACCACCUGUCUCCCUCUGUCUCCCUCAUGUCACCACCUGUCUCCCUCCUUCUCCCCCAUGUCGCCCCUGUCUCCUCCUUCUCGCCCAUGUCACCACUUGUCUCCCUCUGUCUCCCCCAUGGCACCACCUGUUUCCUCUGUCUCCCCCAUGUCACCACCUGUCUCCCUCUUCCUCCCCCCAUGUCGCCACCUGUCUCCCUUCUGUCUCCCCCAUGUCACCACCUGUCUCCCUCCUUCUCCCCCAUGUCACCACCUGUCUCUUUCUGUCUUCACCAUGUCACCACCUGUCUCCCUCUGUCUCCCUCUGUCUCCCUCAUGUCGCCACCUGUCUCCCCAUGUCACCACCUGUCUCCCUCCUUCUCCCCCAUGUCACCACCUGUCUCCCUCUGUUCCCCCAUGUCACCACCUGUCUCCCUCAUGUCGCCACCUGUCUCCCCCAUGUCACCACCUGUCUCCCUCCUUCUCCCCCUGUCACCACCUGUCUCCCCCAUGUCACCACCUGUCUCUCUCUGUCUCCACCAUGUCACCACCUGCCUCCCCCAUGUCACCACCUGUCUCCCCCAUGUCACCACUGUCUCCCCCAUGUCACACCUGUCUCCCUCUGUCUCCCCCAUGUCGCCACCUGUCUCCCUUGUCUCCCCCAUGUCACCACUUGUCUCCCUCCUUCUCCCCCAUGUCGCCACCUGUCUCCCUUCUGUCUCCCCCAUGUCGCCACCUGUCUCCCUUCUGUCUCCCCCAUGUCACCACUUGUCUCCCUCUGCUCCCUCAUGUCACCACCUGUCUCCCUCUUCUCCCCCAUGUCGCCACCUGUCUCCCUCCGUCUCCCCCAUAUCACCACCUGUCUCCCUCCUUCUCCCCCAUGUCGCCACCUGUCUCCCUCCUUCUCCCCCAUGUCGCCACCUGUCUCCCUCUGCCUCCCUCAUGUCACCACCUGUCUCCCUCCUUCUCCCCAUGUCGCCACCUGUCUCCCUCUGUCUCCCUCAUGUCACCACCUGUCUCCCUCCUUCUCCCCCAUGUCGCCACCUGUCUCUCCUCUUCUCCCAUGUCGCCACCUGUCUCCCUCCUUCUCCCCCAUGUCGCCACCUGUCUCCCUCCUUCUCGCCCAUGUCACCACUUGUCUCCAUCUGUCUCCCUCAUGUCCCACCUGUCUCCCCCAUGUCGCCCCCUGUCUCCCCCAUGUCACCACUUGUCUCCCUCUGUCUCCCCAGACCACCUGUCUCCCUCCUUCUCCCCCAUGUCGCCACUUGUCUCCCUCUGUCUCCCCCAUGUCGCCACCUUCUCCCUCCUUCUCCCAUGUCACCACGUCUCCCCAUGUCGCCACUUGUCUCCCUCUGUCUCCCCCAUGUCACCACCUGUCUCCAUCUGUCUCCCCCAUGUCACCACCUGUCUCCCCCAUGUCACAACUUGUCUCCCUCUGUCUCCCCCCUGUCACCACCUGUCUCCCCAUGUCACCACCUGUCUCCCUCCUUCUCCCCCAUGUCGCCACCUGUCUCCCUCCAUCUCCCCCAUGUCGCCACCUGUCUCCCUCUGUCUCCCCCAUGUCCCCCCGUCUCCCUCCUUCUCCCCCAUGUCACCACCUGUCUCCCCCGUAUCACCACUGUCUCCCUGUCUCCCCCAUGUCACCACUUCUCUCCUCUGUCUCCCCCCAUGUUGCCACCUGUCUCUCUCUGUCUCCCCCAUGUCACCACCUGUCUCCCUCUGUCUCCCCCAUGUCUCCACCUGUCUCCCUCCUUCUCCCCCAUGUCACCACUUGUCUUCCUUGUCUCCCCAUAUAACCACUGUCUCCCCCAUGUCCCCCCUUGUCUCCCUCUGUCUCCCCCCUUCACCACCUGUCUCCCUCUGUCUCCCCCAUGUCCCCACCUGUCUCCUCUGUUUCCCCCAUGUCUAAACCUGUCUCCAUCUGUCUCCCCCAUGUCACCACCUGUCUCCACCUGUCUCCCCAUGUCACCACUUGUCUCCUUCUGUUUCCCCCAAGUCACCACUUGUCUCCCUCCGUCUCCCCAUGUCACCACUUGUCUCCCUCUGUGUCCCCCAUGUCACCAUCUUCUCCCUCCUUCUCCCCCAUGUCGCCACCUGUCUCCUCCGUCUCCCCCAUGUCGCCACCUGUCUCCCUCAUCCUCCCCAUGUCACCACUUUUCUCUCUCUCUGUCUCCCCCUUGUCGCCACUGUUCUCCCUCAUUCUCCCUCCAUGUCGCCCUGUCUCCCUCCUCUCCCCAUGUCACCACCUGUCUCCCUCAUUCUCCCCCAUGUCUCCACCUGUCUCCACCUGUCUCCCCCAUGUCACCACUUGUCUCCCUCCGUCUCCCCCAUGUCACACUUGUCUCCCUCCGUCUCCCCCCAUGUCACCACUUGUCUCCCUUGUCUCCCCCAUGUCACCACUUGUCUCCCCAUGUCCCACUGUCUCCCUCUGUCUCCCCCAUGUCACCACCUGUCUCCCUCCUGCUCCCCAUGUCACCACCUGUCUCCCUCUCUCCCCCAUGUCAACACCUGUCUCCCCAUGUGCCACCUGUCUCCCUCUGUCUCCCCAUGUCACAACUUGUCUCCCUCUGUCUCCCCAUGUCCCCACUGUCUCCCCCAUGUCCCCACUGUCUCCAGCUGUCUGCUAUAGACUAGCAUUCUGUCCAGGAGGUGUACUUGUACAUCAAGCUGUCUGCUAUAGACUAGCAUUCUGUCCAGGGGGUGUACUUGUACAUCAAGCUGUCUGCUAUAGACUAGCAUUCUGUCCAGGAGGUGUACUUGCACAUCAUGCUAUAGACUAGCAUUCUGUCCAGGAGGUGUACUUGUACAUCAAGCUGUCUGCUAUAGACUAGCAUUCUGUCCAGGAGUGGUACUUGUACAUCAAGCUGCCUCACUACAGAAGCAGGAGGUGGGCUCCUGCCCUCUGGGCCGUUCUGGCUGUUACAAGGCUUUAGUACUCUAGUCCGAGGCCCAUAGGGUCCUGUAUAGAUCAGUGGUUCCCAAACUGUUUCACUCAGGUCCCUCUUCCAGCAUUGGGGAACAUUCAUUUCUAUGGGCACAAGCACUGUUCAUGACACAAACGGUUCACACCCCUAAAAUGUUGCAGAUUUUAAAGCUUAUUUCCUUGGCCGUCUGUGCACUAGAUAGGAAAUAAGGUGCCAUUUGGGAUAUUUGAUUUGGGACAAACCGAAAAGACUUGGGUCGUCUUCACUUGGGAUGGACUACCUGAACAAUAUAAACGUUUGUUUUCGUUUUCUUUUGCUAAACGUUUUUGCUACAGUGUGCACUAAUGAAUACAACCCUGAUGACGGACAGACUCUGCUGUAUUGUUAUUUAAGGGGAAUGGUUGGUUGUAAUGAUGAUGCAUUCUGAAUUUCAACAUUUGAUAGUUAUGUUUAUUACUAUGGGGGCCAUUUUGAGGCUAACCUUGAGGGACGGUACGCUGGUCUGAAGUCUAGCUCUUGGAAACAGUGUUGUUGGACUAGAAGGUGUCUGGCUCAGGGUAGAAACAUCCCUUUGCCCCCCCCCAUCCAUCCUAAACUAAAUGUGUAUUGCUGUCAGACCUCUGUUUAAAUACUAUUUGGAGUCUUUAACGUUUGCUCUAGCCUGCCUGGAGUGCUAGAUGGGAGGGGAGUUGCAGUUUUGGGACUAGUCUUUAGGUCCAUUUAAGCCAGGCAAGCUCAAUCAAGCACAGAUCGAGUAUUUGAACUCYGGUCUGGUUAGCACUCAAGUCAGUCCGGAUCCAAUGGUGCUACUAGACAGAUGAUUCAGGCCCUCAGCGAGCACAGAUCGCAGUCAUCUGUAACCUUUUUGAGGUUGUCAGGUCAUUAGGUCAAGGUUCAGUUACACUGUAUGACCACAUUCAUCAUCAAGCUGAAACCGUGCAGCACCCGCAUCCACUCACUGCUUUUGGGCAGUGUCCCGAAUGGCUCCCUAUAUAGUAUACUACUUUUGACCAGGGUCCACAGGGUAGUGCACUACUUAUAGGGAAUAGGGUGCCAUUUGGGACGUACUCUUACUAUGUUGGAGUAAUUUGGGCACGGUCAGUGUUGACGUCUUUAGAAAGGUGACAUGUUGACCUGCUGGACAUCAACUGUAGUAAGUAUUACAAUGGAGAGUUAAAUGUUGUUGAGUUUCCUGGCCAAAGGGAGUUGGAUCUGCUGCAGAUUUUCUACUGUUUUCCUCACCUGUGAAACUGUCCCAAUUAGCAUCUUAUUUCCUAUAUAUAUAGUGUACCAUAGGGCCCGGGUCAAAAGUAGCAUGACCACAGGAGGUUGGUGGCAGCUUUAAUUGGGGAGGACGGGCCUGGUCAAAAGUAGCAUGGACCACAGGAGGUUGGUGGCAGUUUAAUUGGGGAGACGGGCCCUGGUCAAAAGUAGCAUGGACCACAGGAGGUUGGUGGCAGCUUUAAUUGGGGAGGACAGGCCCUGGUCAAAAGUAGCAUGGACACAGGAGGUUGGUGGCACCUUUUGGGGAGGACGGGCUCGUGGUAAUGCUGGAGCGGAAUGGUAUCUAACGUGAUCCAUGUGUUUGAUGCCAUUAUGAGCCGUCCUCCCCUCAGCAGCCUCCACUGGUAAGGGCCCUGGUCAACAGGAGUGCACUAUAUAGGAAAUAGGGUGAUUUCAGAUAUAGGAAACAGGGUGUCAUUGCUUCUCCAGUGAUGGGGUGGAUCUUUUCAGGUGUGAACUUGAAUUGCAAUCAAUCAGGACCCAACAAAGGAAGCUGUUCCUACGUUCUGUAGCUGUGUGCAGUAUGUUGACGAGGGUCAUGUUCAUUUUGGCACAAAACGUGAAAGCACUCAAAACGAGGGAGUUGGAGGUACUCUCUGUACUAAUCCAAUAAAACACUUAUCUUCUGUUGCAAAACGUUUUGCUACAGUGCGCCUCAGUGAACAUGACCAGGUUUGUGUGUAUAUAUAUAUAUAUAUUCACUUCAGGAAAAAGGAGCAACAUUUUGCUCUAGCGAACCCAGAAUGGAAAUGCAAGAAAAACAGGACUUUUGUUCACCAACAUCCUAAAACCAGCUGGACUUGGAAUUUAGUAAUCAAGGAGUCAUAGAAAAUGUUUUCUAUUUAAAAGAAUAAAGAUGUUUGUGCAUUACCAUAAACGCCUCCUAUGGUUUUAAUUGGAUGGAUACGGUUCUAACACUACGGGUCACGUUCUCACGGAUACGGUUCAACA